AUUUCAGUAAUUGAGAUCAGCCAAGGAGAUCCCAAAUUGAGUUUCAAAAGGUUGGAUUAGAAAGACAUUGGAUGAAUUUAGGUGUGAGAGAAUGCAAAGCGCAUGCGUGCGGUCGAAAGGGUAGAGGAAAGGAACGACAAAAAUUGAGCCUUUUUUGGUUUUCUUUAUAAAAAAAGGAGAAAAUAAUAUUCCGAGAAAAGGAAAAGGAUGAGUUUGUCGGUGAAGAAUGAGUGAGAAAGGAGGUAGCCAUGAAGAUAGUGGUGGGGAAGAAAGAGCCAGUAUUUAGUGUUAUGUUUGAAGGAAGGGAGGGAGCACUAAAUAUUGUGCAACGUGCUUGCUUACGUGUCCAUUUUAGAAACACACCGCACCAUGCAUCAUGUAGCACAAUAAUCACAUUCCCUUAUUAAAUAUAACAUUAAAAAAUAUCAUUUUAUAUUACAUUAAUAACUUGGGGUAUUUUGGUGAUAUUUAAUUUCUAUCAAUUAAACAAUUUUUUUUAUCUGUCACAUCAAUUAAAUUCUACACUAAUUCUCAUAAACUUUACUUCCAAGUCCACUCUCAUUUACCUCCAAAUCCACUCAAAUAAACAACAAUUAAUUCACCCUCAAAUCCCCUCAAAUCCAUUCACUCACUCUCCCCCAAUUUCUCUCCCCCAAGUGAAUAAAGGAUAAGGAAAACCUUCAACCAUUCCCAUGGCUGCUGCACAAAAUAGUGGUAUCUAAAUUGAUAAGGUAUAUAAAGCAUCAACACGUGUCUCUCUUAUUCAUGUCAUUAAAUAAAAGUCAAUAAGACUCUAUCUUGAGCAUUGGGUGGAUCUUGAAGAUCUCAUAGCAAAUGGAUACUAU
rnacentral:lncRNA from 1 species